CUAUUUCUUCCUGAAUUUUAGGCCAAGUUCAAAAUAGAAAAUGUAUUGAAGAGGUGAUACACUUUGCCUCGGAAGAGAAGCUGUUUCUUCUGGCUGACGAGGUGUAUCAAGACAACGUCUACUCGGAGGAUUGCCAGUUCCACUCCUUCAAAAAAAUCCUUUACGAGAUGGGACCCGAUUACUGGAAUAAUGUCGAACUCGCUUCUUUUCAUUCCACUUCCAAGGGCUACAUGGGCGAAUGUGGCUACCGAGGAGGCUACAUGGAAGUGAUAAACCUGCAUCCAGAAAUUAAAGGGCAGCUAGUUAAGCUCCUCUCUGUCCGUCUGUGUCCCCCCGUCUCGGGUCAAGCCGCUAUGGAUAUCGUGGUGAACCCCCCCGUGCCUGGGGAAGAAUCCUAUGCCCAGUUCAUUAAGGUUUGUUCAUGUAUUUGAGAUGUUUUCGUUUUCCUACCCUUCUUAAA